rnacentral:rRNA from 1 species
UACGUAGGGUGCAAGCGUUGUCCGGAAUUAUUGGGCGUAAAGAGCUCGUAGGCGGUUUGUCGCGUCUGGUGUGAAAAUCCAGGGCUUAACCCUGGACCUGCAUCGGGUACGGGCAGACUAGAGUGCGGUAGGGGAGAUCGGAAUUCCUGGUGUAGCGGUGAAAUGCGCAGAUAUCAGGAGGAACACCGGUGGCGAGGGCGGAUCUCUGGGCCGUAACUGACGCUGAGGAGCGAAAGCAUGGGGAGCGAACAGG